rnacentral:rRNA from 1 species
UACGAAGGGGGCUAGCGUUGCUCGGAAUGACUGGGCGUAAAGGGCGCGUAGGCGGUUUGUACAGUCAGAUGUGAAAUUCCCGGGCUCAACCUGGGGGCUGCAUUUGAUACGUGCGGACUUGAGUGGGGAAGAGGGUCGUGGAAUUCCCAGUGUAGAGGUGAAAUUCGUAGAUAUUGGGAAGAACACAGGUGGCGAAGGCGGCGACCUGGUCCUUGACUGACGCUGAGACGCGAAAGCGUGGGGAGCGAACAGG